CUGUUGAUGAUCAAUAUAUCUAGGCCCGUUUACAAUCAUUUUCUGCUUUCCGUAGAUGGGGUGAUUUUGAGCAGAGGUCACUGCCACGCCGAGCUUGGAUACUAAUACAACGUAUAGAAGGAAUUUUUAAAGCUGCCUCGUUUGGCAACCUGCUUAUAUUUCUAUACACAGGAAGGGCAUAUUGGCAAUGUAUCAUCUCUGUGUUCUAUCUAAAGAACAAAAGGAUUAUAAAGUAUCAUUGACCAACAUUAAACCUGUA